rnacentral:lncRNA from 1 species
ACGGCGCGGGGAAAGCCCCGCCGCGCUCCGCCCCGCAGCACCGUCUCCGCUGUCGCCGCCGCUCCGAGCCCAGUCGUGCCGAUCCCCGCCACCGCGAUGAUGCCCGGCAGGACUCCGCGGAAAGCCGCUCCGCCCGCCGCUCGCGGGGGUACCGGGAGUGAAGAGAAAGGCAUAGUCGGAGGUGGUAUCGGAGUGCGCCCUGCAGCUGCGCAGGAUAGGCGACAAGUGGAACCUGCGGCAGAAGAUCCUGAACCUGCUCACGAAGCUCUUCUGCCCGGAGACAUGAGCUCGCCUCGGAUAACAGCGUGCUGAGAAGCAGGGAAAGACCUUGGCUUUGUGGAUUUGGAACAAGAGACUGACACUAAGAGAUGAAGAUUGCGUUGGGUUUUGCUGCCUGUAGCCACCAAAAGAUGGCUGUUGCAUCAUGAUUUCUUCGAAGAAUAUUACAGCAAUACUGACACAUGAAUGUCAGGUGGGAAAAAAAAAGAUAUCAAUGGGCAGAGCCUCUCACCGUGCAGUGGGGGGACUUGGGGCAAGCUGGAACUUGCCCUUCAGCCUGGUCUCCCCAGUGGCACUCUGGUCCUCGGGUCCCACAGCUAUGUUUCACCAAGGAGCUUGGACCACCUUCGGGAAGGAAGCAAAAAAAGUUCCAGUGUCUUGGAACUUUGGAUCAUGUAUUGCAAGGCAAAAGCCAGUUGCUCUGUUUCUGACUGCUCUUGUUUUCUAAAGCAUGGAUUCUGCUGGACAGGGAUCUGGUGGUGGAAUUAUUCCAUUUAAGUAAACCACUAUCUAUCUUAAUUGAAAAGUUAUUUGUUACAGGAUGUUGCUUUGUGGACUAAAAAUUAGAAUUCUAUGAAUUAACAUGAUGUUGCAUAGUUCUAGUCUAUAUUGUAUAUGUAUUUGCGUAUCUAUUAUAUAUAUAAAAAUAUAAAUACGUCCACCCUAUCUAUAUGACAUGAGUAUUUCACAGAACUAGUAAUUGAAUGGUACUUGUUUAGGCUUAAAAAGCAAUAACAAAAAAAAAUGUUCAAAACAUGACAUAAACCACAUAAAAAUACAUUAUAUAAACUAGAAGAAAGCACAGUGUUGUCUGAUAAUAAAGGAAUACAUUAUGUAUCAGAGAGGGAGCAUACUUUGGUAUAGCACUAUAUAAGACAUAUGAAUAUAUAUUACACAAAUACAGAUAUUGAGGUAUGUGUGGUAGGAUUCUUUCAAUAUUACAAAGAAUUUCUUGAGAACAGUACAAUACUGCUGUGUCUUUAUAAGUAACUUCAUAACUCUUCAAUAGAAGUAGAUCUGAAAGUUGAGUCCAAGUUGAAUCUCAGGUUUUCUUGAGAAUGUUAUUUAUUCAAAGAAAGCAACUACCUCUCUUUGAAGAAAUAAUAUCAACAGAAUUGAAUGUUACAGUCAUUACAGAAAAAGUAGCCUUGGAUUUCUGUAUGUUUAACUAUAUUGGCAAGUGAAGCUUCUUUCCUUAUACUUGAUUUCCACCUAAUUUCAUGGCAACCUCAUUUCAGUUCUGGAAUGAUGCAACCAUUGUAGCACAUCCAGUGGAUGGUGAUGCAUUAUGCCUAUCUCACUGAGGGCUUAUUACCCCUGGGUGGCUUUAGAGGAGAUGAAUUAAGCAUGCUAAUCACCAUCAAGGCAAACAGUAGCUCUACUAGUCAAUUCACACGAGAUGGAUACAAUCCUAAACAGUAUUUUUUCAUGGGUGCAAGCUAGCAAGAAUAUGGCUGAAGCUGGUCAUGUUUUCUAGCUGAUUCUGACAUCAAUGGUCAGUUCCUUCUCUUAACUAGCUUUGUAUGUAAGUACCUUUGCAUUGUAUAGGGCUGUAUAGUUGCACUUUCUGAAUUUUGGGUCUGUUCAAGUUAGAUUUUUUCCUGCCUUUUAGAGAAUUUUUGUAUAUAUUUAUAAAUAAUUUUUUGUUAUCUCUCCUGAAUCGGCCUUUGCAAAAUUGUCAUUGCAUAGCUCUGAUCACUCUGUCACAACCCACUGCGUAUGGCUGUUACUUGUCACUGAUUUCACUAAGGAGAAGCUGACUGACUUAGCGUGCUUAGCGCAUGGAGGCCCAGUGGCAUUACUGGGAGCUUUAUCAUUGUCUUGAGCUACGUGCAUGGUUCCCUCCUCUAAGCCACCUUGUACCUUUUCAGUGAGAGCAUAAUGUUUCGAGAAUAGUUGUUUUUCACCUUAGCACUGCAACGUGGCGUGUUUUGCUGACAUGUAGAGAGGUCGUUUUUUCAGGUAUUAAAAAGUAAAUGCAAAGAGUUUCUGUUUGGCUAAACACCAGCUCCAAGGCUAGCACCGCGUGCAGCUUGGCAAAGCUGUUCAUCAAAGGCAGAGCACUGAGUUCAGCAGGAGGGCUCCUGCUCCAUGUCCUGGGCUUGGUGGAAUCUCAGAGCCUUCAUCAAGGACACUGAACAAUGAUCGUGCCUGCCUGGGACUCUCUGGAAAAUUCGACAUUAGAAUUCACAUUAGUAGCUGAAAUAUAUUUAAAUAAAGGUGUUCUGCUCAAUGUACUCUGCUUUAAAUUCAGUAGGAAAUGAGGUGCAGGCUGCAUAGAGCCUGCCCUGUUCUUCAGGCUGCUGCACACAUGAAUAUUAUGGAAAAAAAAGUAUUGCCAUAAAUGCAUCACCAUGGGGAUAUCUGAGUUAAGUGUUAGUGAAGUAUAUUUUUCUGCCUAUAUCUGCAAAGACUAUUUGCUUCUUUGUGUUUUUGUGUUUCUCUGAGCAUUGUCAAGAGUGCUGACAUUCACUGGGAACUCAGGAAAAAGACCCAGAUCCAAGCUAUCAGUGCCAGUGAGCACUGAAUCCUUAGGACUCCUUUUGUUACUUCUGCAAAGGAUCUGCUAUAUGACUCUGUCAACAGGAGUUUGUUUUUCUUAAGGUCUGUUUUGGAUACAAGCCAGAUGUUUUGCUGUAUGCCCCAUGCAUGUAUGUCUUGAAUUCUUGCUGAGACAAUAAAUACAAAGCAUUUGCAAGAAAAAAAAA